rnacentral:tRNA from 1 species
GGGUGGCUAGUUCAGUGGUAGAACGCACCCCUGAUAAGGGUGAGGUCGUAGGUUCGAUUCCUACGCCACCCA